GAGUUGUAAACUGCUUUUGUACUAGGGUAAACGCUUCUACGUGUAGGAGCCUGAAAGUAUAGUACGAAUAAGGAUCGGCUAACUCCGUGCCAGCAGCCGCGGUAAUACGGAGGAUCCAAGCGUUAUCCGGAUUUAUUGGGUUUAAAGGGUGCGUAGGCGGUUUGAUAAGUUAGAGGUGAAAUACCGGGGCUCAACUCCGGAACUGCCUCUAAUACUGUUGAACUAGAGAGUAGUUGCGGUAGGCGGAAUGUAUGGUGUAGCGGUGAAAUGCUUAGAGAUCAUACAGAACACCGAUUGCGAAGGCAGCUUACCAAACUAUAUCUGACGUUGAGGCACGAAAGCGUGGGGAGCAAACAGGAUUAGAUACCCUGGUAGUCCACGCAGUAAACGAUGAUAACUCGUUGUCGGCGAUACACAGUCGGUGUCUAAGCGAAAGCGAUAAGUUAUCCACCUGGGGAGUA
rnacentral:rRNA from 1 species